CCUACGGGUGGCAGCAGUGAGGAAUAUUGGUCAAUGGGCGGAAGCCUGAACCAGCCAAGUAGCGUGCGGGAUGAAGGCCCUACGGGUCGUAAACCGCUUUUGCACGGGGAUAACACCCUCCACUUGUGGAGGUCUGCAGGUACCGUGCGAAUAAGGGCCGGCUAAUUCCGUGCCAGCAGCCGCGGUAAUACGGAAGGCCCGAGCGUUAUCCGGAUUCAUUGGGCUUAAAGGGAGCGUAGGCGGGCGUUCAAGUCCGCGGUAAAAUUGCGCGGCUAAACCGAGCCCCGCAGUUGAAACUGGAAGCCUUGAGUACACAACAGGCAGGCGGAAUUCGUGGUGUAGCGGUGAAAUGCAUAGAUAUCACGAGGAACCCCGAUUGCGAAGGCAGCCUGCCGGGGUGCGACUGACGCUGAGGCUCGAAGGUGCGGGUAUCAAACAGGAUUAGAUACCCCAGUAGUC
rnacentral:rRNA from 1 species